rnacentral:rRNA from 1 species
AGAGUUUGAUCCUGGCUCAGGACGAACGCUGGCGGCACGCUUAACACAUGCAAGUCGAACGAGAGAAGAGGAGCUUGCUUUUCUGAUCUAGUGGCGGACGGGUGAGUAACACGUGAGCAAUCUGCCUUUCAGAGGGGGAUACCGAUUGGAAACGAUCGUUAAUACCGCAUAACAUAAUUGAACCGCAUGAUUUGAUUAUCAAAGAUUUAUCGCUGAAAGAUGAGCUCGCGUCUGAUUAGCUAGUUGGUAAGGUAACGGCUUACCAAGGCGACGAUCAGUAGCCGGACUGAGAGGUUGAUCGGCCACAUUGGGACUGAGACACGGCCCAGACUCCUACGGGAGGCAGCAGUGGGGAAUAUUGCACAAUGGAGGAAACUCUGAUGCAGCGAUGCCGCGUGAGGGAAGAAGGUUUUAGGAUUGUAAACCUCUGUCUUCAGGGACGAAAAAAGACGGUACCUGAGGAGGAAGCUCCGGCUAACUACGUGCCAGCAGCCGCGGUAAUACGUAGGGAGCGAGCGUUGUCCGGAAUUACUGGGUGUAAAGGGAGCGUAGGCGGGAUCGCAAGUCAGAUGUGAAAACUAUGGGCUUAACCCAUAAACUGCAUUUGAAACUGUGGUUCUUGAGUGAAGUAGAGGUAAGCGGAAUUCCUAGUGUAGCGGUGAAAUGCGUAGAUAUUAGGAGGAACAUCAGUGGCGAAGGCGGCUUACUGGGCUUUAACUGACGCUGAGGCUCGAAAGCGUGGGGAGCAAACAGGAUUAGAUACCCUGGUAGUCCACGCCGUAAACGAUGAUUACUAGGUGUGGGGGGACUGACCCCUUCCGUGCCGCAGCAAACGCAAUAAGUAAUCCACCUGGGGAGUACGACCGCAAGGUUGAAACUCAAAGGAAUUGACGGGGGCCCGCACAAGCAGUGGAGUAUGUGGAUUAAUUCGAAGCAACGCGAAGAACCUUACCAGGUCUUGACAUCGUAUGCAUAGCUCAGAGAUGAGUGAAAUCUCUUCGGAGACAUAUAGACAGGUGGUGCAUGGUUGUCGUCAGCUCGUGUCGUGAGAUGUUGGGUUAAGUCCCGCAACGAGCGCAACCCUUACUGUUAGUUGCUACGCAAGAGCACUCUAGCAGCACUGCCGUUGACAAAACGGAGGAAGGUGGGGAUGACGUCAAAUCAUCAUGCCCCUUAUGACCUGGGCCUCACACGUACUACAAUGGCUGUCAACAGAGGGAAGCAAAGCCGCGAGGUGGAGCGAACCCCUAAAAGCAGUCUUAGUUCGGAUUGUAGGCUGCAACCCGCCUACAUGAAGUCGGAAUUGCUAGUAAUCGCAGAUCAGCAUGCUGCGGUGAAUACGUUCCCGGGCCUUGUACACACCGCCCGUCACGCCAUGGGAGUCGGUAACACCCGAAGCCUGUAGUCUAACCGCAAGGAGGACGCAGUCGAAGGUGGGAUUGAUGACUGGGGUGAAGUCGUAACAAGGUA